CUCCUGAAUAGCUCAGCCGGUUAGAGCAUCUGACUGUUAAUCAGAGGGUCGUUGGUUCGAGCCCAACUUCGGGAGCCC
rnacentral:tRNA from 1 species